rnacentral:rRNA from 1 species
CGGGUGAGUAAUACAUCGGAACGUGUCUUCUAGUGGGGGAUAACUGCCCGAAAGGGCAGCUAAUACCGCAUGAGACCUGAGGGUGAAAGCGGGGGAUCGCAAGACCUCGCGCUGGAAGAGCGGCCGAUGUCCGAUUAGCUAGUUGGUGAAGUAAAGGCUCACCAAGGCGACGAUCGGUAGCUGGUCUGAGAGGACGACCAGCCACACUGGGACUGAGACACGGCCCAG